rnacentral:lncRNA from 1 species
UGUUUGGAAUUGUUUGUCAAGUACAAGUAGUACUAAGUAUCAACAUCCACAUACAUUUUGUGAAAAACAAGCAAUAGCUGUUAAGCCUCCUUCAAAAACUGAUGAUGAUAAGAAAAAACAAUCCACAAUCAAACUUGGUGUUGUAAUAGGAUUAAUUGCAGGAAUUGUGGUAGUAGUGAGUGCAAUAGGCUUGUUGAUAUUUUUCAUUGUCAAGAAAGUUACAAGAAAUAGAGUUCAAGGGUACAAGAAUGAUAGCUUUGCUUUUGAGAAGAAUUCAACCCUUUCUAAAACUGCUGAUGGAGGUAAAUUUCUUUAAUAAAUCUUGAAUUUUUUAUAUUUUAGAUUGUAGUUUAAUCAAUAUUAUUAUUAACUUGAUUUGAUCAGGGAAUGCAAGGAGGACAAUGAGGUUGACAUCAUUAGGAUUGCCUCCAUAUCAUGUUUUCACUCUUGAGGAAAUGGAAGAUGCAACAAACAAUUUUGAUCCAACUAAUCUAGUUGGAGAAGGUUCCCAGGGUCAGGUAAAAUUGUUUGAUUUCAUUAUAAAAUGAAAAGAAAAAAUAGGAAGAGAUAUUACUAUCUCCGGUCCAUAUUAUUUGUCGGUUUGGAAAAUUGAAUUUAUUUCAAAAUAUUCAACAUUUUAGAAAACAAGAAGCAUUUUUUAUGUUUUUCCCAAUUCACUCUUACUGCUCCGAUUAGUUGAGUGUUAAUUAAGCGAGACGUUUAAGAGAGAGAUAAGUUAUAUUUUAGACUAAGGCUAUUAAAUGUCUUUAUUAAGGGGUAUGCAGCCUUACCUGUAUUUCUGCAAGAGGCUAUUUCCACGGCUCGAACCCAACUUUACGAGUUACGCCAAGGCUCCCCUUCAAAUGCAAAAACCUUAAAAGAAAAGAUAAUAUA